rnacentral:rRNA from 1 species
GAUGAACGCUGACAGAAUGCUUAACACAUGCAAGUCAACUUGAACUUCGGUUUGGGUGGCGGACGGGUGAGUAACGCGUAAAGAACUUGCCUCACAGCUAGGGACAACAUUUGGAAACGAAUGCUAAUACCUGAUAUUAUGAUUAUAUGGCAUCGUAUAAUUAUGAAAGCUAUAUGCGCUGUGAGAGAGCUUUGCGUCCCAUUAGCUAGUUGGAGAGGUAACAGCUCACCAAGGCGAUGAUGGGUAGCCGGCCUGAGAGGGUGAUCGGCCACAAGGGGACUGGGACACGGCCCUUACUCCUACGGGAGGCAGCAGUGGGGAAUAUUGGACAAUGGACCGAGAGUCUGAUCCAGCAAUUCUGUGUGCACGAUGAAGUUUUUCGGAAUGUAAAGUGCUUUCAGUUGGGAAGAAAAAAAUGACGGUACCAACAGAAGAAGUGACGGCUAAAUACGUG